CCUACGGGUGGCAGCAGUGGGGAAUAUUGGACAAUGGGGGGAACCCUGAUCCAGCCAUGCCGCGUGUGUGAAGAAGGCCCUCGGGUUGUAAAGCACUUUCAGUGAGGAAGAACGCCUGGUGGUUAAUACCCAUCAGGAAAGACAUCACUCACAGAAGAAGCACCGGCUAACUCCGUGCCAGCAGCCGCGGUAAUACGGAGGGUGCGAGCGUUAAUCGGAAUUACUGGGCGUAAAGCGCGCGUAGGUGGCUUGAUAAGCCGGUUGUGAAAGCCCCGGGCUCAACCUGGGAACGGCAUCCGGAACUGUCAAGCUAGAGUGCAGGAGAGGAAGGUAGAAUUCCCGGUGUAGCGGUGAAAUGCGUAGAGAUCGGGAGGAAUACCAGUGGCGAAGGCGGCCUUCUGGACUGACACUGACAAUGAGGUGCGAAAGCGUGGGUAGCAAACAGGAUUAGAUACCCCUGUAGUC
rnacentral:rRNA from 1 species